rnacentral:misc_RNA from 1 species
AAGUCGUAACAAGGUUUCCGUAGGUGAACCUGCGGAAGGAUCAUUAACAAAAAAAGCUGUUUUAUUUUGAGCUAUAUAAUUCUGUAGUUCUAUAGUUCUAUAAUUUUAUAAUUUUAUAAUUUUAUAAUUUUAUAGUUUUAUAGUUCUAUAAUUUUAUAUGGCUCAAGUAGAGCAAUCAACCUUUGUGAAUUGGGCAUUUUUGCAUUUAAAUAUGCAGAAGGCUUAGAAGGGAUUUGGGGGUCAGUGUUUCUUGAUUCUGAUUUUUGUUGACGUUGAUAUUUUUGUGUUAAAGUAGUAAUUUUAAAACAAGAAAAAACAAAAGAAACAAGAAAUCAGAAAAAAGAAUCAAGAAUCACUCAUAUAAAUGUCUAAUUAUAUGUCGAAAGACAACUAAUACAACUUUUAACAAUGGAUCUCUUGGCUCUU